CCCAAACACCUAUACGUACAACACUAGCUACUAUGGGUCCAAUCAUCCCUUAGGAUGGAAUACCCCAGGCCCCUCAACCAUCGAGUUGGAAUGCCAACAUACUAUGAGUCCAAUCAUCCUACAGGGAUGGAAUACUCCUGGCCACAACCAUUGGGUUGGAAUGCCCCACCUCCUAUACAUACAGUAACUACUACUACUACUACUACUACUACUACUACUACUAUUACUAUGGGUCCAAUCAUCCCUCAGGAUGGAAUACCCCAGGCCCCUCAACCAUCGGGUUGGAAUUCCAAACUACUAUGAGUCCAAUCAUCCUACUUGGAUGGAAUACUCUUGGCCCACAACCAUCGGGUUGGAAUGCCAAUCUACACUAGCAGACAUGCACACAUAACAGGCAUACAUAAAACACUCUACAGAACCAACACACUAGGGCCCUAUUAUCCUACCGGGAUGGAAUACCCUUUGCUACUACUCAACAUACAUAACCCGCGAGUACCUCCUGCCAGUGUACAUAGUGCGAGACCAAGUACCGGUCUAUAAAUAAUCACUACCCAACUACGAGGGCGCUGAUCCAAUGGAACUAGCCAUCAUACAACUAUCCAUUACUCAAGGAUACUAAGCUAAUAAAGCAUAUUCUCAUAUCACUAUCUCAUCUACCAGGAUACUAGCAGACAUAUCAUCACAUAACAUAACAGGCUCUAACAACAAUUCAAAGGGCCGGCCUUGGUGCCUUAGACCCUUGAGUACAGUAAGGAAAACUCACCUUGCAACUGUUGGAAUCCUGCAACUCUCUAACUGCUGACUCGCCGGGAAUCCCAACUAUCAUAUGAGAACCAUCACAUAAGAAACCAUCACAACGUUCAAGACCAAGGACCCACAACACUCAUUAAGUCCGUCAUCCUCUUAUUGGGCCAAGACCUAAAGUCAAAUCCUCAUGCAAAGCCCAAUAUUGGCCCAAUUUACUAAAUUGGGCCCACCUCACCAAAUGGGCCUACAUCCAAGGUCCACAAUAAUUAUUGAGUCCAAAAAUACUCCAUCCAUAAUGCUUAGUCACGGCCCAAGCCCCACUAGCCCAAUAAAAGCGCAAUCACUUAAGGCCUAAAAUCAAAACCCAAUAGAGGGAGUAUGCGGGGCGUACCCCUCUUGGUACGUUGGGCGUACAUCGAUGCUCGUGGAUUGGAGUCGGGACACAGAGCCACUACGCUGGGCGUACAUUCAUUUGCGCGGGGCGUAAUCUCGUUGAACUAAAAUCCCACAUAAGUUCUUAAUGGCUUAAGCUCUUAAUCCCAAACUUCAGAUCCAUAGACCAAAUAUGCCUAGGAUUCAUAAAGUCUCAAACUUUAUUACUUGGGACGUCCAUAAAGCUCUUAACUCAAGGUCUUAAUCCAUUAAGACCUACCUAUCUCACGCAUGAGACAACCAAAGCCAUUGGGACCUCAUUUUUCUCACUCAAGACCUCUCCUAAGGCCUGAAAGGACAGCUAAUCUCAACUAACUCGCAUCAUGCAUCACUUUGGGGGUUUUUGGGACAAGAAUGGUGUCCAAAACUUCAUAACACAUAGAUCUACACAAUAUGAUUGUCAAGCAAGAGACUUUAUACCUCAAAAGGGCUCCAGAAGAUGAUGCCUUUCCAGAUCUAUGAGCUCCAGCCACCCCACUCCUUCUUUGACAACUUCUUCUUUUUUCUUCUAGGCUCUCCUUUGCCAAAACAAGCUCUCCAAGGUCAAAUAUCCACAACAAUGGAAAACAACGGCUACUUAGGGCUUCUGAGGGUAAGAGGGCAUAUAUGGAGGCUGGGGUUGGAACCAUAAUGUUCCUUAUAUAGUGGUUGGCCCUAAAAUUAGGGUUUUUGGAUGAUAGACGUACGCUGGGCGUAAUUCCAGUACGUUGGGCGUACGUCGAGGGACCCACGUUUCAUCAAUUUCAUUAAGUUGGGCGUAACCCAGCCUACGCUGGGCGUACCCACGCGUGUCCCAUGCAUGCAUUGCCUUACUUUGUCAACUUUUUCCAUUAAGUGGCAUAAGUGACAAUAUCUUCAAAGUGUCAUAGAUCCUUUAUUCUAAGUCCGUUUCUGAUGAACUUUAUAUCCACGAAAAGGUGGCGAGAAGCCCUACGCUUCUAGCAACACAGCCCGACUCGAAACCUUCUUUAAUACAACCCAUUGCCCAUAGAAGACCGAAACGCCCUUAUUAUUUGAUCUCGAGGAACCAUAAAUAACUACUCUUAGAACGGGGCGUUACAAUUCUCCCCCACUUAAAUACGAUUUCGCCCUCAAAAUCGCCAACUGCCAACUCUGGCUAUCCAUAAUCCUGAAAAGCACAUUCACACUCCUCAAGUGAUGACCAUCAAUGGAGACUAGCCCCAUUGGAACUCCUCUUUGAAUGGAUACCUACUUCUUCUCAUGCAGACUCGAUACUUACCCUUCCGGAAAGCCCUGAACCCGGAAAAUUGAAUUGGAUCUGUCUCUCGGACAGGCCGUCCAAACUAACCAUCCCCUGACCUCUUCCCAUUGCUAUGAAAAGGAGCUACUCAACCGUGGGAACCCGAAUUCCCAACCUGAAAACAGGUCCAUGAGUCCUACUCUGGUGCCGACCACACUUGGUCUCUCUCUUAACUCAUGUCCGACCGAACAUACAUCGAUACUCUUACCAAACCAACACUCACGCCUGGCCAAUCAGCCUCGGGCUGGAACACCAGGUAUGCCUAUGACGGGUCCGCUCAUCCCCAGGAUGGAAUACCCUCGCAUCCCUACACAUGUUUGGUCCAAACAACCCUCGGGUUGGAAUACCAAACACAUCAGGUCCAAUCAAUCAUAGGGUGCGGUCAUCCUCAUGAUGGAAUACCCCAGAUUGGAAUACCUCCAUAUUCAUAACUCAACCUAUAACCAUACUUGGAACCAAGGACCCUGUCCUUGCGUCACCCUCGAACCCUUCGGUUCGCCACAUCUGAGUGUAACCCCACCCAUACCUGCUUAUCAUGAUCUCCAGGUCCUUGACCUUCAACUGCAAUAUCUUACAUAAUUCUCAUCACCGGUCCAGACUGCUCCCGAGUCUGUUAACCUGCUAUCCCACUUUCCUCUGUCCAAACCUCCAAUCUGGAGCCACUAUCCCUCUCCUCUUCCAAGGAGACUGAAAACAUGCCCAUGCAUCAGCCAACAUUGCCACCGCGACAGAUCCUCGCUAUACAUUACCCCUUAGCGGUGCUCACCGUUAUCCCAUAUCAUACAUACAUACCUGCCGCAUUUCCUCAACACAUGCAAACCCUUACAAUAACUGAACCGCCUCAUUGCAUCAUCCCAAUAGCCGACGUUCAAACCGCUCCAGGCAACCUUCUACAACCAGCAGCUUAUCCGAGAAUUUCCAAUUCUCCCCCACUUAGGGCACUAACCACCCUCCGCUGCGGCGAAGCUAACACGCAUGCUCAAUCGAACCUACUUAUACACCGAACUUCGAGGAAAUUGAGUUCCUGCUGAAAGUUCUCAAUUUCUCAAACCAUAACCUUCCUUUCUCAUGAAUUACACACUGGAUGAUAACCCUCUAAGAACCCUCAAUGCUCGCUCACCUCUAAUACAUACAACACUAAACAUCUCAUGCAAGACACAAUAGCUCAUAAUCACAACAUAAACAAGAUAAAGCAGAAAAACAUACCGACUGACACCUCUGGCUCAGAUCUGAUCUCCUCGGUCACAAGUUGAUCAGCACAUCCUGGAGCCUUCGGAGGCUCUGCUCGACCCUGACCUCCGUCGGUAAGUCUCAAAGUGGUUGGCGCUGGGGCCUGCACUAACCUGGCAGCCAGUAGAGGACACUGGGCCUUCAUAUGGCCCACCUGAUCACAAUGAUAACAAAGUCGCCCCCCUGCCGCUGGAGUCGACUGCCUGCAAUCCUUGGCUAUGUGGCCCUCCUUGCCACACUUGUGGCACCCCGAAGAAGAAUGGAAACCGCCCUCGUGCACCUUGCCGCACUUCCCGCAAGUGCGACUCCUCUGACCUCCUUGUCGAUAAUCAGCGGGCCUCAUCCGCUUCGGUGCAGGCUACGACUGCACCGGGGCCUGCCUCUACUCUCUUAACUGGAGCUCAAUCUCUAACUCGCGCCGCCUAAUGGCUUCCUGCAACUCCAACAAGGUACUACACCUCUGCGUGGAUACAAACUGUCUGAUGUCCUUCUUGAGCAUACUUAGAUAUCGAGACAUUUGAGCCUGCUCCAAAGAAAACUCCGGGCAAAACAUCGCCCUCUUAAUGAACAUCCUAGUGAUCUCCGUCACUGACUCUGAACCCUGCUUCAGUUCCAGGAACUCCUGAGCCAACCUCUCUCUCUCAACCUGCGGAAUAUAACGAGUACUGAACAUUUCCCGGAACUGAUCCCACGUAACCGCAGCCCGCUGCACAUCAGAAUAAGAUCCCGUGGUCAACCUCCACCAAUCCUUCGCCCCGAGCCUUAGAAGGUUCAGAGCAUACCUCACCCUCUUAUCUGUAGGGCAUGAACACGUGAAGAAGCAACCCUCCAUGUCUGACAAGCACCUCAUAGGAACGAUCGGAUCCUGAACUCCAUCAAAAGUAGGGGGCUUUGUAUUGUCGAAAUCCCGAUACUGAAAACUCCGACUGGCUCCNNNNNNNNNNNNNUGCCGCGACCGCUGUCUCUGCAAGAACUGCAUAUCGCUCAUCAAAAUACUCAACCAAGGUGGUCUUGAUCGACCCAAACAGUUUCGACAACUCAGCUCGGAACAUAGCAACAACCUCCUCAUGUAGGAUAUCGUGAAUCCUAGCGUCCAACUCAUCCGUACUCAUCUGGCCAAUGACUUCGGGUGAUACGGGUCCAUCCCGACCACCCUCUCCUGGUCCCAAUCCCGAAUCGGAUCCUGCCUCCAAACGUCUCGCAUCCGCCAUACUGGAAUGAACCAUAAAAAUCUCAGAUCCCUCGCAUAACCACUGAGGACUAACCUCAAAUCAACAACCUAGGGGUUGUGACUUCCUUGACACGCGUAUUGGUCAUGUAUUUUCAAUAGUACGGGCCCACACUAUCUUCCACACCUACCCAUAUUUGUCUAAAGUAUCACCACAAUGCCCUAAGCACAAACAUACACAACAAGCACUCAAUCCUCACCCCUAGAGGAAUACUGAAUAGCUCAUAACAUGGAAACCCUAGAAUCAUAUUACACAAACAUCAGAGUAAUUUCGCCAGAACCAUAUUACAUAAAGCAUAAACAUGAGGAGUGGUACGAUCACGCCUUCGCCUUGCCAUGAUCUCCUAAAGCACCUGAAACAAUAAACCACAACUGUAAGCCCGAAAGCUUAGUGAGUUCCCCCAAAGUACUCAUACACACACAAACAUACGCAUACAGCAAAGAACAACAUACUUCGGGUCCAAUCAACCUUCCGGUUGGAAUACCCCCGGCCCUCAACCAUCGGGUUGGAAUGCCUACAUAAUUAAUAUGUGUAUUUUUAUAUAUAUUUUUAUGCAUUAUAUCUUAAUAUUUUGGCCUUUAUUAUUCUCUUUUAGAACUAAAAAGUACUCAUAAUGCUUUGAAUUAUGAUUUGCAGCUAUUCGUUGACGAUAAAGCACAAAAGAAAAGACUGAAGCGGAAACCGGGCUUAGAAGCUAAAAGUAAUUAAAAAUGCUGGAGCAACAAUUACGCCCCGCGUAAAUAGCAAUUAUGCUAAGCGUAGCGACCAAAUUGAAUUACGCCCAACGUAACUUAAGGGUACGCCCCGCGUAAUGGCUGGCACCGGAUAAACUCCAUCGCGUUGUAAUCCUUAGUACGCCCAGCGUAAUUCGACUUACGCCCAGCGUACGUAAGUCGGCCACAAAGGUUAUAAAAGUCGAUUUUCAGCUAAUCAGGAAGGGGAUUCGACUUCCAACUUAAUUUAGUCGAUAUUAAACUUCUGUUAAGCCGUUUUGAGGAUCUAGAAGGCGGCCGGAAGGCCGUUAAGCUAACGGGAGCGGAGAUCGGAAGGGUUGGAGAGCAGAUACGUGUCGGUAAUCAUAUGGGUUGCUAACGGGACCAUGUUUAGCAUUCCAUUGUGGUACUUUUCUGUAUUCAGUUUCUGAUUUGGGUGUAAAAACCUUUUAUUUUGUGUUUAUGAUUGAAUGAAGCUUUGAUUAUUUAACUAAUUGCUAUAUUGAAUUGUUUAUUUAUCUUUAAUUUAUCUUGCCAAGCUUGUUAAAAGAUCCUUAUGUGUUAAUGAUGAUUAUUUUCUGUUAAUUGUUAAGUGAAUUGAGUUGUGUGAACACCUGCUUGAUUGCUUGUCUCUUAUGAUUUUGAUGACCAUCGAGAUUAUAAGUCUAGGAAUAACGAAUGUGAAACUAGGAUUAACUUGGGAAUAAGUAAGUUAAUGUGUGAGCCUUGUUUGAUGACCAUCAACAAGAGGUUAAAUUGAAUUAGUAAUUCGAUUAACUAUAUUUACAAGUCUUGCUUGAUACGAACUGAACACUAGGAAGCAUGUUAGUUUAAUCAACUGAUCACUGUUUGAAUUGACUUGUUUGCUAAAGGAUUAGUUAUAGUGAACGCGAAUCUAAUCAUUUUAGGAAUCGGUGAACAUGAAUAAAUGAAUUUGUGUAUGCAAUUGUCUAUGUUUUUAAGGUGUAAUUUAUCUAAACCAAAGUACCUGAAGAGAUUUGCUUUCCUGUUAGUUUAUCGAGAGUUGUUAAUUGUUAGUUUGAGAUUUAUUAAACCAUUUUCUUUAUUAUUUUCGUGUGACCUGUAACCUAUAAUCAAAUAUAUUAAAUUAAUUCACCACCGUUCCCUGUGAUCGACACCCGACUUACCUAAGCUAUACUGUAAUCUGACUAGGUACACUGCCUAUAAGUGCAUAGUUAGUCUAAGUUUGUUAGGUUAUAAAUAUUAAAAUUAGUGGGUACUUUUGUGCACAUCAAGUUUUUGGCGCCGUUGCCGGGGAACGGCUUUCAAUUAAUUUAGUUUAUUUGAUUAUUCGUUAUUUGUUUUUAGUUAGUUUUUAUUUUUAGUUUGAUUUUCGAUGAUAUCAAUUCACUUGUCGGGAAGGUUCUUGUUGUUAUUUGCAGGAAUUUGGGACUGUACACAUUGCUUGACUUUACUUUUUGCAUGGGUUUCGAGGAUGAAAGCGAUUAGGGAAUUCUUGACUUGCUUAGCGUACUACUUUGUUGAUUUGUCAAACUCAAUCCAUGAGGCGUAGUAUAGCAAGGCGUAUGGUGGUGGUUAAGUGGAAGACCGAGCUCUUGCUGUUCUUGACUAGUUAGGUCACUUCUUGUUCCGCUUUUAGUUAAAGGUGCAAGGAAAACAAAGGAAAUAUUCUAACGGGUCCCGAAAGUGGGUGUUUUCGCAAACCAAUUCUUGCAUGCAAAGGUUUUUAAUCAACCAUUGUUGUUUGAUCUUGACAAAGAUAAGUGAUUGUGACGUCUCAUUUUUUUUCACUCAUCGGAAAGUCAUUUGCUGAAGAAAUUAAAAAGAAAAAAAAAUUAAGUUUUAAGUCCCUUAAUUAAAUAAUUAAAAGAAAAGGAAGUUAAAUUAAAGAAAAAGGAAAAGUUUCAUUUAAGUUUACUUACGCCAAGCAUAAUAAACCCCGGAUCGCGUAUGGAUUUUCAUGAAAUUGGGGUUACACCCAAUGUAACAUUGUGUUACGCCCAGCGUAAGACGACGACAAGGUUAUAUCUUUUGACCCUUGACUUUUUUGUUACUUUUUCACAAUCCCUUUCGCACACACAAAACUGUGACGNCACACACAAACUGUGACGGACGAAGUCUUUCCAAGAAUCUCGAUUUUUCUACUUUUCUUGUAAAAUUCGGCACACAAGUAAGUAUUUCGGGUACUCAAUGUUAUGGAUUUAUGUUUAAAUCGACGAAAUUGGCUGCAAAUUGCCUUUGUUCGAAAUCUAGGGUUUAUAUAGUUCUUGAAUUAGGGCCGAUUUCGCAAAUAUAUGUUCUGAUUACCACUUAAAUGGACCGAUUUCUAUCAAUUAACUAAACCCUAGGACUUAAUUUGGUCUUAAUCCCGUCCCACACCCAUCGAUUUAAACUCUGGGACGUACGCCUAGCGUAACCCCUGUUGACUUCAAUUCUUCACUGCUACACAUGUUUCCCUGUUAAGUGUUUGCUAAUAGACAAGGAAUUUACAGGGAUUGAUUCAUAUUUUUAGGGAGGUCCCGUUUUUUUUUCUACUAUGUAGGACCACGCAAUCCUUAUGCUCGAUAUGCCCAUGCUGGGUUUAUUACUUGUAGAUUGGCUUAAUUUAAAAAAAAUUGAUUUGGGAACAAGCAAAGGAACCAGGACACAGACUCGUGAACUUGGACGUACGCCCAACAUACGCUGGAUGUACGCCCAGCGUACAGACCAUGUCCAGCUCCAAUUUUUUUUGGUUUAAAAAUUUGUUAAUUCUGUGAAAUUGUGUUUGGUUUUGUGUUUGUGUUUAUUUGUGCAGAUUAUGGCCCGAAGAACCCAACGGACUAACCCACCCGAGGAUGUGACCGAUCACCGUUUCUUACAAUUUCCGCAAACGCUGAACGAUGCAACCCGGACACGAUAUGUCAACAGUUUGAGUUUGCUGCUCACCAAGGAGAUCGACAUAGCACCCUCAUUUGAUUGGGACUUGGCGACCCGGACUGGACUAGCUGCACUGAUCCAGAAAUUUUUGCAAUACACGCACUCGGACGCGAGUGGUGUGGAUUUGUUCGUGUGUCAGGGAUGGGCAUGAUUGUUCAAGAUCCAGGAGCCUGUUUAUCGGGAAUUUUUGUUGGAGUUCUACGCUACAGUUUCCUAUGAUCCUAGGAAGGCACCCAAUGACAGGAUAGCUUUUGCCUUUAGACUGGGGGAGUGAGCCGGGAAUGCAGCGUGAUAGAGCUUGCAACUCGAGUGGGUAUUUACACAGGGGAUUAGACGAGGAGUGUCCACUUCCCGGCAUUCCUUGCUGAUUGUCUUACGGAGCGGCCAUACGACUAUAACGAGAACACUUUUUGGGCCAAGAUUACCGGAGGCGUUUAUAUGCCAUCCACUGCACGGGGUAGGAUGAUACGGUUUACUACCUACAGAUUGCUGCACCGGUUGAUUUCCAUGACUCUCACGCAUCACAAGAACAGUGAGAGUGUGCCUUCGACAGACUUGUAUUUCCUAUGGGCACUUGUUACUCCAGGGAGGCACCUGAACCUUCCCGUUGCUUUAGCUGCAUAUUUGGGACGGAGUGCCAGGGGACUUCGGGAGGAUAGCCCGAUAUACGGAGGGCAUUUUAUCACGCGGUUAGCCCGAUCAUAUCAGUUGCUGACGCGUGAGAUCACGAGAUCGAUGGCGUUCCACGAUAUGAGGCCGAUGAGCCUUCAGCUGUUGGAGUCGAUGCGUGUAUUGGAGCGGGGUGGAGAUGGUGUCUUGUGAGUACGAGUAGAUGAUGUGGCGGACGAGGAGGGUGCCGCCGAGCCACAGCCNCGGCGUAGACCUGCUCCUCGGGGAGCGCAGCAGGGACCUGAGCCGGAGAUUGAUAUGCGCUACCUAGCUCAGGGCAUUGACCGUCUUGACAUGAGGGUCCAGAACCUUAGCGAGUAUGUUGCACAUGUGGACAGGCAACAGCAGUGGUAUGGGGAUGCGUUGAACGCAUUGUUUGCCCACCAGGGGUUUCAGUAUUCGGUUCCCUACCCACCACCAUUCCAGCCACGACAUGAUGGGGCCGGUACUUCGGGGACACAACAGCAUGAUGAUGGAGAUGAUGAGUGAUCCUUUUUAUUUUUAUUUUUGUGUUUAUUUUUGUGUUUUUUUUGUGUUUAGUUUAGUAUUUUUAUUUGGUAUGUAAUUAAACUUUAAUUUAGUUUGUUUUUAUUUUUGUUUUCCAUGUUGAUGCUCUUUGGUUGUUUAGAUUUCUGCAGAAUUUUCGCCUUUAGAAAGCUAGCAGUAAGUUCAGCAGCUAGGUCCGACUAUUGCUAGAGAGAGCCGUGUGAGAGUUCGAAGAUUAUAGUCAAGACCCACAAUUUGUCAUAAGUGUGGGGUGCAUAUUGAUUUCGUGAGCGAUUGUUUAGAAGAUUGGCAUAUUUUUACGAUAUUUUGACUCUUAUGAUAUGGAUGAGCUGUUCCCACACCAUAGAGUUCUAUUUCGAUGCGAGGAAGACGUAUCAUCCCGGCUGCCAUGACAUGGUUGACACUUUCCUAUGUUGUGGGGGAUUUUUGUUUUCAUCGCGAGAGAAGAGAUGUCUUUCUUGACGAGACGACGUGGUCNUGGUUACUAUACUUUGCAUUUAUUUGCAAUAUUUUGCACCACAUUUUUGAAGAUGGCGGUCUUGAUUUUAUUUUUCGGCAAAUUCAGAAGUAGCAGUUCCAGUUUUCAGUCUUUCGGCGAUAUUGGAAGCAACUUGUAGCAGCCCCAUUCGAUCUCGCCACAACUACCCAGGGGAGUCUGUUCCUUUUUCUCCCUUUUUAUGUUCUUAAUUCGUUUUAUCAUUCAAUGAGGGCAUUGUAUGAAAUAAGUGUGGGGUAGGGGAUCGGUAAAAGUAAAUUAAAAUUAUAAGAAAAAAUAAAAUAAUAGUUAGGAAAUUGCUAGAUUUAGGAAAUUUAAAAUUUUAAAAACUUGAAAUAAUAGUUUAAUUUAGAAAAAUCUAGUGAUAAUUUAAAUUUUGCUAAUAUUGUAUGAAAUGAUCCGAUGAGAACUCAAAUGUUUAGUUGAGCCAAUAUACGUUAUAGUGCAUUUGUGGCCUCCCUUAUUUUAGUGAAAUCAUGGAACAAAAACAUAACCCCGCUUGGUUUGAGGGAUGCAAUAUGUUUAGCAGCCUAAACCUGAAAUGUAUCCAGGAAAAUUAUUAUCAUUAACCAAUAAAGGUUGAGGUUGAGCGCUCUGCUUAAGCAUGUAGGUUUUGAGUGAAAAAAAAGUGAGGUACAUGUAUAAAAAAAAGAGAGAAUUACGAGAAAAGUUUGAAGAAUUUUGGAGCAAAUAAAGUGAAGAUCAAAAGAUCAAAAUUCCAAGAAAUUUCAAAAAGUUGAAGAUACCAGAAAUCAAAUCAACAAAGGUGGUGAAUUCAAAGAAAUUAAAGAUCAAAUGUCAAAGAAUUGAAGAAUUCCAAAAGAGCUCCAUAGUGGUAUCGAAAAAUUGUAAUUCUAGAUUAUGUAUGCUUAGGUUGCUCAACUAAAAAUACCUUGAGGUUAGGAGGUUUUCUGCGGAUGGAUUCGGAGGGUUGCAUAAAAUGAGCAUUGUUCGGAAAAAGUGGGCAAGUGUUUAUGAAGAUUGUGAGUAUUUAAAGUAGGGGGGGUACUUUAGGAAAAUUUUAGACACAAAUGCAUGCGUUGCGGUCUUGACAUAAUGGCUGAGUUUUAAAUGGAUUGUUUAGUGCGAUAUUGGUAAAAUAAAAGUAAAUUUGCUUGGGGGCAAGCAAAGGCUAAGUGUGGGGUAUUUUGAUAUGUGUAUUUUUAUAUAUAUUUUUAUGCAUUAUAUCUUAAUAUUUUGGCCUUUAUUAUUCUCUUUUAGAACUAAAAAGUACUCAUAAUGCUUUGAAUUAUGUUUUGCAGCUAUUCGUUGUCGAUAAAGCACAAAAGAAAAGACUGAAGCGGAAACCGGGCUUAGAAGCUAAAAGUAAUUAAAAAUGCUGGAGGAACAAUUACGCCCCGCGUAAUACACUUCUACGCUAAGCGUAGCGACCAAAUUGAAUUACGCCCAGCGUAACUUAAGGGUACGCCCCGCGUAAUGGCUGGCACCGGAUAAACUCAAUCGCGUAGAAAUCCUUAGUACGCCCAGCGUAAUCCGACUUACGCCCAGCGUACGUAAGUCGGCUACAAAGGUUAUAAAAGUCGAUUUUCAGCUAACCAGAAGGGGGGAUUCGACUUCCAACUUAAUUUAGUCGAUAUUAAACUUCUGUUAAGCCGUUUUGAGGGUCUAGAAGGCGGCCGGAAGGCCGUUAAGCUAACGGGAGCGGAGAUCGGAAGGGUUGGAGAGCGGAUACAUGUCGGUAAUCAUAUGGGUUGUUAACGUGACCAUGUUUAGCAUUCCAUUGUGUUACUAUUCUGUAUUUAGUUUCUGAUUUGGGUGUAAAAACCUUUUACUUUGUGUUUAUGAUUGAAUGAAGCUUUGAUUAUUAGACUAAUUGCUAUAUUGAAUUGUUUGUUUAUGUUUAAUUUAUCUUGCCAAGCUUGUUAAAAGAUCCUUACGUAUUAAUGAUGAUUAUUUGCUGUUAAUUGUUAAGUGAAUUGAGUUGUGUGAACACCUGCUUGAUUGCUUGUCUCUUAUGAUUUUGAUGACCAUCGAGAUUAUAAGUCUAGGAAUAACGAAUGUGAAACUAGGAUUAACUUGAGAAUAAGUAAGUUAAUGUGUGAGCCUUGUUUGAUGACCAUCAACAAGAGGUAAAUUGAAUGACUAAUUUGAUUAACUAUAUUUACAAGUCUUGCUUGAUACGAACUGAACACUAGGAAGCAUGUUAGUUUAAUAAACUGAUCACUGUUUAAAUUGACUUGUUUGCUAAAGGAUUAGUUAUAGUGAACGCGAAUCUAAUCAUUUUAGGAAUCGGUGAACAUAAAUAAAUGAAUUUGUGUAUGCAAUUGUCUAUGUUUUUAAGGUGUAAUUUAUCUAAACCAAAGUACCUGAAGAGAUUUGCUUUCCUGUUAGUUUAUCGAGAGUUGUUAAUUGUUAGUUUGAGAUUUAUUAAACUAUUUCUUUAUUAUUUUCGUGUGACCUGUAACCUAUAAUCAAAUAUAUUAAAUUAAUUCACCACCGUUCCCUGUGAUCGACACCCGACUUACCUAAGCUAUAUUGUAAUCUGACUAGGUACACUGCCUAUAAGUGCAUAGUUAGUCUAAGUUUGUUAGGUUAUAAAUAUUAAAAUUAGUGGGUACUUUUGUGCACAUCAAUAACACGAACCCAAUCAUCCUACCGGGAUGGAAUACUCUCGGCCCACAACCAUCGGGUUGGAAUGCCCAAACACCUAUACGUACAACACUAGCUACUGUGGGUCUAAUCAUCCCUUAAGAUGGAAUACCCCAGGCCCCUCAACCAUCGAGUUGGAAUGCCAACAUACUAUGAGUCCAAUCAUCCUACCGGGAUGGAAUACUCUCGGCCCACAACCAUCGGGUUGAAAUGCCCCACUUCCUAUACAUACAAUAACUACUACUACUACUAUUACUAUGGUCCAAUCAUCCCUCGGGAUGGAAUAUCCCAGGCCCCUCAACCAUUGGGUUGGAAAGCCAAACUACUAUGAGUCUAAUCAUGCUACUUGGAUGGAAUACUCCUAGCCCACAACCAUCGGGUUGGAAUGCCAAUCUACACUAGCAGACAUGCACACAUAACAGGCAUACAUAAAACACUCUAAAGAACCAACACACUAGGGCCCUAUCAUCCUACCGGGAUGGAAUACCCUUUGCUACAACUCAACAUACAUAACCCACGAGUACUUCCUACCGGUGUACAUGGUGCAAGACCAACUACCAGUCUAUAAAUAAUCACUACCCAACUACCAGGGCGCUGAUCCAAUGGAACUAGCCAUCAUACAACUAUCCAAUACUCAAGGAUACUAAGCUAACAAGGCAUAUUCUUAUAUCACUAUCUCAUCUACCAGGGUACUAGCAAACAUAUCAUCACAUAACAUAACAGGCUCUAACAACAAUUCAAAGGGCCGACCUUGGUGCCUUAGACCCUUGAGUACAGUGAGGAAAACUCACCUAGCAACUGCCAGAAUCCUGCAACUCUCUGACUGCUGACUCGCCGGGAAUCCCAACUAUCAUAUGAGAUCCAUCACAUAAGAAACCAUCACAACUUUCUAGACCAAGGGCCCAUAACACUCAUUAAGUCCGUCAUCCUCUUAUUGGGCCAAGACCCAAAGUCAAAUCCUCAUGCAAAGCCCAAUAUUGGCCCAAUUUACUAAAUUGGGCCCACCUCACCAAAUGGGCCUACAUCCAAGGUCCACAAUAAUUAUUGAGUCCAAAAAUACUCCAUCCGUAAUGCUCAGUCACGGCCCAAGCCCCACUAGCCCAAUCACUUAAGGCCCAAAAUCAAAGCCCAACAGAGGGAGUACGCGAGGCGUACCCCUCUUGGUACGCUGGGCGUACAUCGAUGCUCGCAGAUUGGAGUCGGGACACAGACCCACUACGUUGGGCGUACAUCCAUUUGCGCGGGGUGUAAUCUCGCUGAACUAAAAUCCCACAUAAGUUCUUAAUGGCUUAAGCUCUUAAUCCCAAACUUCAGAUCCAUAGACCAAAUAUGCCUAGGAUUCAUAAAGUCUCAAACUUUAUUACUUGGGACGUCCAUAAAGCUCUUAACUCACGGUCUUAAUCCAUUAAGACCUACCUAUCUCACGCAUGAGACAACCAAAGCCAUUGGGACCUCAUUUUUCUCACUCAAGACCUCUCCUAAGGUCUGAAAGGACAGCUAAUCUCAACUAACUCGCAUCAUGCAUCACUUUGGGGUUUUUGGGACAAGAAUGGUGUCCAAAACUUCAUAAUACAUAGGUCUACAGAAUAUGUUUGUCAAGUAAGAGACUUUAUACCUCAAAAGGGCUCCAGAAGAUGAUGCCUUUCCAGAUCUACGAGCUCUAGCCACCCCACUCCUUCUUUGACAACUUCUUCUUUCUUCUUCUAGGCUUUCCUUUGCCAAACCAAGCUCUCCAAGGUCAAAUAUCCACAACAAUGGAAGAAGAACGGCUACUUAGGGUUUCUGAGGGUAAGAGGGCAGAUAUGGAGGCUGGGGUUGGAACCAUAAUGUUCCUUAUAUAGUGGUUGGCCCUAAAAUUAGGGUUUCUGGAUGAUAGACAUACGCUGGGCGUAAUUCCAGUACGCUGGGCGUACGCCGAGGGAUCCCGCUUUUCAUUAAUUCGAUUACGUUGGGUGUAACCCAGCCUACGCUGGGCGUACCCACGCGUGUCCCAUGCAUGCAUUGCCUUACUUUGUCAACUUUUUCCAUCAAGUGGCAUAAGUGACAAUAUCUUCAAAGUGUCAUAGCUCCUUUAUUUUAAGUCCAUUUCCGACAAAAUUUAUAUCCACGAAAAGGUGGAGAGAAGCCCUACACUUCUAGCAACACAUCCCGACCCAAAACCUUCUCGAAUAUAACCCAUUGCCCAUAGAAAACCGAAACGCUCUUACUCUUUGAUCUCGGGGAACCAUAAAUAACUACUCUUAGAAUGGGGCGUUACAUUUGAGAUCGUGAAACUUCAUAGCAGAGAAGAACCAAUUUUCUUCGAUAAACUGAAUUGACGUGGUGAAAAUGAAGCCAAACGUUUGUUAAAUUGUUUCAUGUUUCUUUGCAGUUUACACUUCCUCCAUCUAAAAGUCAAAAAUAACUUCAAACCAAAAGCUUUUCAAUUGAAACACACAAUGGUACAUUCCCUUGCACAAAAAAAAUUCAUUACAAAUUAAACCUAGAGCAAAAAAAAAGAAUAGAAAAAUGACACAUUUUUUUAUAAAUCUUUGACCAAAUCGCCCGUUUCAAAAAACGGUGACAGUGGUUGAAAGAUAAUCUAACCUUCGUUUCUUUAUGAAAUUCAUAAAGAGUGAAGUGCAUGAAAAAUUCCUGAAAAAAAAAACCAAAAUAUCCAUGGAAUGAAUGUAAGAUCACACGAAUUCCCAAAAUACCCUUUAAAUAAAAGUUUAUUCCAUUCAUCAAAAAAAAUUUAAAAGUCACCACUCUUUUUUAUCUCCCAUGCUCCGUAAACAAAACCCAAACCAGUAGAUUAAGUUCCUUUUGAUAAUAAUUUGAACCAAAUGCCCCUGCUUGCUUACACACCAACUACAAAUGAGAAAUAACCCAACUUUAAUUAUAGAUCUAAACAAAGGGGAACUGCAGUGACCAUUUAAAUUAAAAUCGACAGGUUAAUCUUUCCGAUCGAUUUAUGGUUCCGUUCAUUUCCAAGGACCAGGAACAUCAAUAUGGGUUUUUGCUCAUUUCCAAUCUCCAAUCAACGAAAACAUGAAGAAAAUCGAAAACAUUAGCUAAUGAAAGUGGUUUUACCUCAAAUUAUAAGUCAAGGUCAAGAAUGCAAACCUGGACAUUGAUAAAACAAAAAAUUAUCAUGGACCGACAAAUGAAAUUGCAAAAUUGGCAAGAAACACGAUUAAUCAUAAAUUUGAAGCAUGGACAUUGAUACACGCCUUAUUAAUACACAAAUAAAUGCUAUUUCUUUCAUUUAGCCCAAAAUUAUAGAAAAUUUAAGCAAAAGGAGAAUUUGCCUCUUUCUUCUUUCCUCCAUAGAAGAGCUUGUAUCCACCAUAAAUAAAUACUCCCCACCCCAUUAAAGAGACAAUAAGAAACUGAAAAUACACACACACACACACAAACAGAUUCAUAUCAUCAAUAAAAAUAUCUGGAUCAUAGUUUUUCAUUACAGUUUGAAGAAUAAAUUCUUUUUUAGCCAAUUCCUAAUUUAUAUAGAAAUUUAGAAACAACAAUGUUCUAUUACUUGUUACUGUUAUUAAACCAACUGACAAGCAACCAACAUCAAAAUUCAAAAGUUAAAACUUAAACAUGUAAUUGAGUGAAAAAAUGCAUAUAAAGAAGGUAAUCCAUGUCAGGCAUUUGAUCGAACAACUUGCCUGCAAUCUGAUUUCUAUUCUUUUAGUUAUUCUAAGUGUUUGAUUUCUAUCCUUCUAUUAACUUUGAGUGGGUUGUUCAUCAUCAAGACUUUCGUUUCAACGAGAUAUAAGGCAUAAGACUAAUCAAAUCAAGAGACAUCUGAGAAAUGUAGAAGAACAUGGAUUAUUGACAUCAGUCAACAGACAACCAAAUUAAGAGAAAAGGAUCAUCACCAUCACCAACGACACUGAUAACCAUGAAAUUGGUAUCAAUAUUGUCGAUUUCAAAAGAAAUCAGAAAAACGGAAGAAAAAGGAACCUGAGGUGAGACGGUGUAGCUGUAGGGUACGAAGCUGGUGGCGGUGAAGGCUGUGAGAAAGGGGACCGACUGGUUCCAGGGUCCUGUGAGAGGUUAUCGACAGCGGUGCCUGAGAAGUUGUAAGCGACGGAGAUUUCUGAAGGCCAUUCGAGAGAGGCUAUCGGCCACAAAGUUUUCCUAUGAUAGAGAAGCCGACAAAGAUUAUUCGUGUCUUAGAGAAUAUCGGUGGUUUGGAGGAACGGUGGAAGGAACUGGAAAUGGAAAUAUAUGCAAAUGGUUUAAAUCGAGAAAAUCGAGAAGCAUCGGAA
rnacentral:lncRNA from 1 species